rnacentral:rRNA from 1 species
CAGGGCAUGCUCAGCUACGGCGAGUGAGCGGCAAGAGCUCAAAUUUGAAAGCUGGCUCCUUCGGGGUCCGCAUUGUAAUUUGCAGAGGAUGCUUCGGGUGCGGCCCCUGUCUAAGUGCCCUGGAACGGGCCGUCAGAGAGGGUGAGAAUCCCGUCUGGGAUGGGGUGUCCGCGCCCGUGUGAAGCUCCUUCGACGAGUCGAGUUGUUUGGAAAUGCACUUCCUAAAUGGGGUGGUAAUUUUCAUCAAAAGCUUAAAUUAUGGGCCGGAGACCGAUAGCGCACAAGUAGAGUGAUCGAAAGAUGAAAAGCACUUUGAAAAGAGAGUUAAAAAGCACGUGAAAUUGUUGAAAGGGAAGCGCUUGCGACCAGACUCGCCUCCAGGGUUCAGCCGGCAUUCGUGCCGGUGUACUUCCCUGGGGGCGGGCCAGCGUCGGUUUGGGCGGCCGGUCAAAGGCUCCCGGAAUGUAGUGCCCUCCGGGGCACCUUAUAGCCGGGAGUGCAAUGCGGCCAGCCUGGACCGAGGAACGCGCUUCGGCACGGACGCUGGCAUAAUGGUCGUAAACGACCCGUCUUGA